GAUGAACGCUAGCGGCAGGCCUAAUACAUGCAAGUCGAACGGUAAGGCCCUUUCGGGGGUACACGAGUGGCGGACGGGUGCGUAACGCGUAUGCAACAUGCCUUCCAGCGGGGGAUAUACCAGGGAAACUUGGCGCAAUACCCCAUAGAAUUACGGGACCGCAUGGUCUUGUGAUUAAAACUCCGGUGCUGGGAGAUUGGCAUGCGUGACAUUAGCUAGUUGGCGGGGUAACGGCCCACCAAGGCGACGAUGUCUAGCUGGUCUGAGAGGAUGAUCAGCCACACUGGGACUGAGACACGGCCCAGACUCCUACGGGAGGCAGCAGUGGGGAAUUUUGGACAAUGGGCGGAAGCCUGAUCCAGCCAUGCCGCGUGAGUGAAGAAGGCCUCGGUUGUAAG
rnacentral:rRNA from 1 species